rfam:Schistosoma mansoni strain Puerto Rico chromosome W, complete genome
AUUCAGCUGACGAGUCCCAAAUGAAACGAAACGCGCGUCCUGGAU